AGGCGUAUAGCUCAGUGGCAGAGCAGAGUCCUUUUAAGUCUUUGGUCGAAGGUUCAAGUCCUUCUACGCCUA
rnacentral:tRNA from 1 species